AAAACAUUAAAAAAAAAAAAAAAAAGAAAGGCAACAGAACCUACUGGGCUACCCAAGGCUGGGAGGAGCCCAAUUAGUUGUCUUUAUUGCUGUGGUUGUUUGAUGUGGGUAGAAAAGUGUAACUGCUACGAACUGACCACGAGGAUUUGGGAAACUGGAGUGAGUGAAGACAGUUUUUACACACUUCAGACAGUUAGGCAGAUGACCCAGCGUCAUCUCAACGAAUCUUCACACCAACCUGAAAAGACUUGGUUACCUUUUCUGGUAACCAUCUUACAGAUCACCCCAUUUUGCAGAUGGGAAAACUGAGGCUUGGAAUCAAGUGACGUCACACUGAAGGAGGAGCAGAGAGGAGAUUCGAACUCAGUCUGCCUAGCUCUGAAGUACAUGUGCAGAACCUC